rnacentral:lncRNA from 1 species
AAGACUACAAAUGCGUUUGCAUUGUCUGACUUAGCUUCUAGAAUUCUUGCCCUCUGCCAUGAGAAUCAUGUGUUUCAAAUAGUAACUGCUUCUUUUAUCUUGGGUUGCAGAUUGUGAAGACAGAAGAAGUCAACCUGAAAACAAACCACAGUUUGGAAUCAAGCCAAGUGUUCACAUUGGGUUUAUGAUAAGGAAAAAGAAAGAAGCCUAAUCAAAUUGUCCCACUUGCAGUGCUGAACGAGUGUCCGUGUCCGCCUUUCAUGGUGGCAAGGUAAGAACA